CCAAAAUGUCUUGUCGCAGCGAUUCCUAUCCGUUUUACCAGCGCAGUUGCUAUUAAAUGAGUGCUCGAUAGUAGGUCUUGCGUCAUCAGUCUAAAUGCAUAAACAGAGAAGCCAACAAAAACGAAAGAAAUCCGUGAAAGAAAGCUUUAGAAUUCUGGAAUUAUGGAACCUAUAUAAUUCGUUGUAGUGUCACAUUGUAUUUACCCUGGACAAUGCAUUCUGAACGUAAAUGUAUACAGUUUUCUCCUCUAUUUGCGUGCCAUCGAUGCGCAAUGUAAGCGUGUUGACUGUCUCUUGGCUUCUCUGUGGUAUAUAAAUGUCGAUGGGUACACGACUUGUUUGUCCUGGAGAUAACCAUAUGCUGUUGCAUAGAAAUAGAAAUUAGAAAACGUAAAUGUGAAAGGAAGCUAGUGAUGUAUUCAUAAGUGCUCAUGUUUUGUGACUUAUGCUAACAUAAUUCUUUAGUACAGUGUUUCUUUGAGUCAAUACUAUAUUUUAAACAUAUGUUAAUUUUAUGAUGUAAUAAAAUAUAACAUUCAUUUAAAUU